GUCCUUUUGGAUUUUUAUUUAAGGUCUAGUCUGCCCACUGAAUUUAAAUUUUAAAUGGCCGCAGUAUUUUGACUGUGCAAAGGUAGCAUAAUCAAUAGUUUUUUAAUUAAAAGCUUGUAUGAAAGGCUGGACGAGGUAAGAUCUGUCUCUAUUUAAAUUAAUAUAAAAUUUAACUUUUAAGUUAAAAGGCUUAAAUAUAGUUAAAAGACGAGAAGACCCUAUAGAUCUUUAUAAUUUGUUAAUUAAAGUUAAUUUAGAAAUAUUAAUGUUUUAUUUAAUUAAAUUAUUUUAUUGGGGUAAUAGAAAGAUUGAAUUAAUUCUUUUUUUUUAAUAAACAUUAAUUUAUGGAUGUUAGAUGAUCCAGUUUUACUGAUUAUAAGAUUAAGUUACCUUAGGGAUAACAGCGUAAUUUUUUUAGAGAGUUCAUAUCGAUAAAAAAGUUUGCGACCUCGAUGUUGGAUUAAAGAUUAUUUUAGGUGUAGAAGCUUAAUAAUUUUGGUCUGUUCGACCAUUAAAUCUUUAC
rnacentral:rRNA from 1 species